rnacentral:rRNA from 1 species
UGGGGGAUAUUGCACAAUGGGGGGAACCCUGAUGCAGCGACGCCGCGUGGGUGAAGAAGCGCCUCGGCGCGUAAAGCCCUGUCAGCAGGGAAGAAAAUGACGGUACCUGAAGAAGAAGCCCCGGCUAACUACGUGCCAGCAGCCGCGUAAUAUGACGCU